AUGCUGGCCGCGGCGGCAGAGCAGGAGGUGCCAGGGGGCAAGGCGGGGAGCAGCCAGGACCCCCCGGCCCCACCGGCGGCAGCAGGGGACCCCCAGGAGGGCCUGGCCUGCGCCGGCCAUGGGGCGGACGAGGAGGAGGCCCGCAAGAGGCCGCAGGCAGGGCUAGAGUCGAACACGAAGGCACCAUCAGAAAGCCUGGAGUCCCUCCGUCAAAAAUCUGACAGCGGCAUCGAUAUUGGAAACAAACUGGUAAAUGGGGCUGAAAAGGAAGUUUCAGAUAAACGUCCUGAAACGGCUGCAGCAGAGGGGCAGGCACCUCAGAGCGGCAGCGAGCAGGCGCAGGGGCAGGAGCACCAGCACACCCAGGGCCCAGCACCUGCGGGUGACAGCCCGGAGCCAGCGGCACGAGAAGCCCAGGGAAGGCGAGGUUCACAGGGCGGCCCGGAUGACGGGGUUCAGCAGGCCGGCAGCAGCACCGGUGUUUCUAAGGAGAAGGAACUCCUGGGGGAGGCUGCCCGGCUGGAGGAGGGGGCUGAGGAGGCGUGUGGAGCCAGCCUGGAGGCCAGCAGCCUCCGAGGCCAGGAGUCCUGGCACAGCACCCAGAGGGUCUCCAGAGAGGCCAGCUGGCAGUCCCUGGGGGCAGCCUCCUGCCGCAGCGCCCAGGAGGGGCUGGGGGGGGACCAAGCUUCCUGGCAGCAGCGGUGCCCGUCGCCGCUCAGCGCUGACUCCAACGAGCGGCUGGAGCAAGUGCGAAACGCAACGUACCAGGCCGAGGAGGGAGCGACCUGGAUAAGCAAACGAACGAGCAGACAAGUGACGAACAAGAGCCAGCAGACGAGCGCUGUGUGGAGCAGGAAGUCUCUGGCUGAGAUCCUGAAGUCCCCCACCCAGAAGUCCAAGAGCAUCAUCGAUGCAGAGAAGCAGUCGUUAAAGCGGGCUGAAAAAGAAACUUGGGAUAAAUGUUCUGAAACGGCUGCAGCAGAGGGGCAGCCCACAAGGCAGGCAUCGCAGCGCGGCAGCCAGCAGGAGGGGGCCCAGGGGUCACGGCAGCACAGCGAGCAGGAGGCACGGCGCGGCAGCCAGCAGGCACCGCAGCAGGCACCGCCUGGCUCCCAGCAGCCUGUACCAAAGGGAUCACAGCAACCUGAGGAACACAGAGAGGGAUCUGCACUGGUCUCUGAGAGCAGACUGAUCCUGGAGCUUGAGCUGCAGGCUGGCAAUCUGCAGGGAAUAGAACUUGUGGUGGAGGAAAACGAACAGAGCCAUGUGUUCUUUAUAGGCUUGACUGAAACAGCUCAGCAGAAAUACAAUAUUCUUUCACCGAGCGGAGAGAAUUUGUUGUGCAGUAUAGCAAGUAAAAUAAGGAGUCAUGGUGAGCAAACAAGUGACAAUUGGAUGAAAAAAAAUCUGGAAACAGCAGAAAAAGUGCUGUUCCAGCGUUCCACUUCUGCUCUGGAGGAUGCUCAGGUGACUUACAACCACAUGUCGGUUGAAGGAGAGAUGGGGACGAGCAAAAUGGGGAAAAUCCUGGUCAUCUCUGAUGAGCAAACAGGCGACACUGUAAUUCAGGCAAUUCAUGAAACAACUCAGCCGCCUGGAAGUCAGCAGUCCCAGCACAGCCAUGAGGCCGGCAGGGAAGUGCUGGCUGAUGUCCCCGAGAUGUGUGCUGGAGCAGGUGCAGAAGUGCUGCAGGUGAUGACAUACCAGUCCUGGGACAGUGGCCAGGAGAGCAGAAGUGCAGAGAUGGCCUCGGGGCUCGUGCUCGCCUAUGACAUCCCCAACGACAUGCAGAGCGUGGCCUUACCCAGAGAAACGGUCAGUGAGGCUCAGCAGACACACAGUGUUAUUUCUCUAGACGAAGGUUCCUGGAUCAAGAGGAGAACAGGCAAAUUACUGAAGAACAAAAGCCAGCAGACGAGUGUCGCUGCUCUUCAGGAGAGCAGUGCCACUGCACAGGAGUGA
rnacentral:lncRNA from 1 species